CCUACGGGUGGCAGCAGUGGGGAAUAUUUGGCAAUGGGCGCAAGCCUGACCCAGCAACGCCGCGUGAAGGAUGAAGGUUUUCGGAUUGUAAACUUCUGUCGCGAGGGACGAAGAAUGACGGUACCUCGUAAGAAAGCCCCGGCUAACUACGCGCCAGCAGCCGCGGUAAUACGAAGGGGGCAAGCGUUGCCCGGAAGGACUGGGCGUAAAGGGAGGGUAGGCGGCUCAUUAAGUUAGAUGUGAAAGCCCGCGGCUUAACCGCGGAACUGCAUGUAAAACUGGGAGGCUGGAGUACAGGAGGGGGGAGUGGAAUUCCUGGUGUAGCGGUGGAAUGCGUAGAUAUUAGGAGGAACACCAGAGGCGAAGGCGACUCACUGGACUGUAACUGACGCUGAGGCUCGAAGGCGAGGGGAGCGAACGGGAUUAGAUACCCUUGUAGUC
rnacentral:rRNA from 1 species